rnacentral:rRNA from 1 species
UCGCGGUGGCGGAGCGUCGUUUGCGACGCCCAACACACAAAACAAGCGGUGAGUGCUUUGGGGUGGGGUGACUGCGUACCUUUUGUAUAAUGGGUCAGCGACUUAUAUUCUGUAGCAAGGUUAACCGAAUAGGGGAGCCGUAGGGAAACCGAGUCUUAAUCGGGCGUUAAGUUGCAGGGUAUAGACCCGAAACCCGGUGAUCUAGCCAUGGGCAGGUUGAAGGUUGGGUAACACUAACUGGAGGACCGAACCGACUAAUGUUGAAAAAUUAGCGGAUGACCUGUGGCUGGGGGUGAAAGGCCAAUCAAACCGGGAGAUAGCUGGUUCUCCCCGAAAGCUAUUUAGGUAGCGCCUCGUGAAUUCAUCUCCGGGGGUAGAGCACUGUUUCGGCUAGGGGGUCAUCCCGACUUACCAACCCGAUGCAAACUGCGAAUACCGAAGAAUGUUAUCACGGGAGACACACGGCGGGUGCUAACGUCCGUCGUGAAGAGGGAAACAACCCAGACCGCCAGCUAAGGUCCCAAAGUCAUGGUUAAGUGGGAAACGAUGUGGGAAGGCCCAGACAGCCAGGAUGUUGGCUUAGAAGCAGCCAUCAUUUAAAGAAAGCGUAAUAGCUCACUGGUCGAGUCGGCCUGCGCGGAAGAUGUAACGGGGCUAAACUGUGCACCGAAGCUGCGGCAGCGACGCUUAUGCGUUGUUGGGUAGGGGAGCGUUCUGUAAGCCUGCGAAGGUGUCCUGUGAGGGAUGCUGGAGGUAUCAGAAGUGCGAAUGCUGACAUAAGUAACGAUAAUGCGGGUGAAAAGCCCGCUCGCCGGAAGACCAAGGGUUCCUGUCCAACGUUAAUCGGGGCAGG